GAUGAACGCUGGCGGCGUGCCUAAUACAUGCAAGUCGAGCGAACAGACGAGGAGCUUGCUCCUCUGACGUUAGCGGCGGACGGGGGAGUAACACGUGGAUAACCUACCUAUAAGACUGGGAUAACUUCGGGAAACCGGAGCUAAUACCGGAUAACAUGUUGAACCGCAUGGUUCAACAGUGAAAGACGAUCUUGCUGUCACUUAUAGAUGGAUCCGCGCUGCAUUAGCUAGUUGGUAAGGUAACGGCUUACAAAGGCAACGAUGCGUAGCCGACCUGAGAGGGUGAUCGGCCACACUGGUACUAUGAUACGGUCCAUCCUCCUACGGGAGUCAGCAUUAGGGAAUCUUCCGCAAUAGGCGAAAGCCUGACGGAGCAACGCCGCAUGAGUGCAGAAGGUCUUCGGAUCGUAAAACUCUGUUAUUAGGGAAGAACAAAUGUGUAAGUAACUAUGCACGUCUUGACGGUCCCUAAUCAGAAAGCCACGGCUAACUACGUG
rnacentral:rRNA from 1 species